UUCGUUGUAGAAGGGUCUAAAUACAGCACAAACAACAUUUUCCAAAAGACCAAAAAAGUGAAAAAGUAUAUUUAAACAAGACGCAUUUGACUAAUAGGUCGAACAACUGAUGUUCUUUAACCCUGCUGACUGCCAUUGGCGAUUGCCAAAUAAAAUUGAUCACAAGAUGUAACAAAAUGGAUCUUAAUAUAAAUUUAAUACUAAACAGAAAACAAUUAACUUGUGGCCAC
rnacentral:lncRNA from 1 species